CUUGGACAUUACACAACUACAGAGAGGAUUGUUUAAGACAAGACAAGCAUAUCCAGGGAUGAGAUGGUAGAGAGAAGCAGAUGAUCAAGGACCAUAUCCUGGAAAGCACACAUGGUUAAGAAACAGAGAAGGUAUGAGACAAGAGGCCCAACUGCUGUGCUCUGGAAGGGACCACGGGUGGCUUACAGAUGUGCUGAGAGCUAAACUUACACAGAAAAUUAACCAGAGAAG